GAUGAACGCUGGCGGCGUGCCUAAUACAUGCAAGUCGAGCGAACGGACGAGAAGCUUGCUUCUCUGAUGUUAGCGGCGGACGGGUGAGUAACACGUGGAUAACCUACCUAUAAGACUGGGAUAACUUCGGGAAACCGGAGCUAAUACCGGAUGAUAUUUUGAACCGCAUGGUUCAAAAGUGAAAGACGGUCUUGCUGUCACUUAUAGAUGGAUCCGCGCUGCAUUAGCUAGUUGGUAAGGUAACGGCUUACCAAGGCAACGAUGCAUAGCCGACCUGAGAGGGUGAUCGGCCACACUGGAACUGAGACACGGUCCAGACUCCUACAGGAGGCAGCAGUAGGGAAUCUUCCGCAAUGGGCGAAAGCCUGACGGAGCAACGCCGCGUGAGUGAUGAAGGUCUUCGGAUCGUAAAACUCUGUUAUUAGGGAAGAACAUAUGUGUAAGUAACUGUGCACAUCUUGACGGUACCUAAUCAGAAAGCCACGGCUAACUACGUGC
rnacentral:rRNA from 1 species